rnacentral:rRNA from 1 species
AUACGUAGGGAGCGAGCGUUAUCCGGAUUUACUGGGUGUAAAGGGCGAGUAGGCGGGCUGACAAGUCAGUUGUGAAAACUGGGGGCUUAACCCCCCAGCCUGCAAUUGAAACUGUUGGUCUUGAGUGAUGGAGAGGCAGGCGGAAUUCCCAGUGUAGCGGUGAAAUGCGUAGAUAUUGGGAGGAACACCAGUGGCGAAGGCGGCCUGCUGGACAUUAACUGACGCUGAGGCACGAAAGUGUGGGUAGC